ACAGCAGCAGCCGCGGUAAUACCGAGGGUGCGAGCGUUAAUCGGAUUUACUGGGCGUAAAGCGUGCGUAGGCGGCUUCUUAAGUCGGAUGUGAAAUCCCUGAGCUUAACUUAGGAAUUGCAUUCGAUACUGGGAAGCUAGAGUAUGGGAGAGGAUGGUAGAAUUCCAGGUGUAGCGGUGAAAUGCGUAGAGAUCUGGAGGAAUACCGAUGGCGAAGGCAGCCAUCUGGCCUAAUACUGACGCUGAGGUACGAAAGCAUGGGGAGCAAACAGGAUUAGAGACCCCAGUAGUCCCUGUCUCUUAUAC
rnacentral:rRNA from 1 species